GUGCCCAAUGACUUUAUAUUUUUGUACACGCUAUUUUGAUUUGAUAUGUUUAGUGUUUGUUUGAUAGAAAAUAUUUUUAUUAAGGGAAGUGGAAGGGAAGCAAAACUAUUCAGAUGUUUUAAACUUAAUUGUAAUAAAACAAUAUGUAUAUAUGUAUAUAAAAGUACCUAUAUAUUCAGCAUAUUUUUACAUAUGUGAACAUAUUUUUCUGCAAAACCGUUUGAUUGGUGGAGAUCAGGACUUGAGAACUCUAAUUCAAAAUUCCAUUCCCGAGCAAAUUGUUUCAUACAAAAACUAUUAAAUGGAACAUUAUCUGCAAAAAAUAUAUCUGGGAUACCAAAUUUUGAAAAAGUUUCCUUGCAACACCGUAUAACUGUAUUUGCAGUUUUAUCAUUCACAGGAAAUAACUCUAUCCAGUGAGAGUACAGAUCAACAAUUAAAAGAUCAUCUAGUGCAACUUUUAAUUGAUUAUGUAAUGCUAAUGGUACCCUCCUUUGUGCCUGAAUAACUGGCUUUGCAUCAGGUUUUAAUUUAAUGUCAACCAUGCCUGGAAUACAACCUUCUGGAAAUGUUUUAUGUAAUUCAUUAAUAUUUUUUGGCAAAGUAACAUUUGGAUUAAACAACUUAUUUUGCACUGUAUUUAUAAGUGAAAUCAUGUUAAAUUCAAUACAAUCUGAUAAUCCUAGAAGAGGUUCUGUAUUUAGAUCUACAAUAAGAAACUGAACAUUUUUAACUUGAUUUUUAUAAUAACAUUUUAAAGUAGCACAACCUAAAGGCUUGGAUUUAAAAUUUCCAUAUGAGACAAUGGUUAUUGAUGAUGGGGUUAUAUCUUUUUGAUCUAGCCCCACCAAUUUAAAAUAUUUUAAUGGCAAAAUGCUUGACUCAGCCCCCGAGUCAAGCUUAAAUACAAUAUCCUUAUCAAUAAUUCUAAGGCUUUCAUACCAACUUGAUAUUUUAUUAUAUUGUUUGCUUUCCCAAAUAAAAACAUGAUCCUCAAGAGAAAGGUGAUAUUCAGUACUUACAGUUUCCACUUUACUCGUUUGUGCACCUGCUGCUGUUUCAUUUACAACCUCAACUUUUUUGGCUUGAUUUUGUGACAUGUUUUUAUCUUUCCAAAAACACAUCUUUGCAAAAUGUCCUCUUCUUUGGCACACUGAACAAGAUUUAUUAAAGGCUGGACAUUGUCGGAGAGGAUGUUCCAUAUCACACCUUCGGCAUUUGAUUUUUCUUACGACAUUAACAUCUGUAGAAUCAUCAUCUGCUAAUAAUUUUAUAUGUUGUUUUGUCACCUCUAUCGACUUACAAUAAUCCUGUAUUUGUUGUAAUGUCAUAUUAGGCUCUCGUAACAACUUUUGUUGUACUUGUUUAUCAUGUACACCUAGAACCACUCGAUCUUUUAUCAUGCGUUCACUAUAAGAUGUUUUGCAUUCAUCACUCUGGCAAACAAAAUUACAAUUAUCAGCUUGAUUUUUAAGCUCUGUAACAAAUGCAUCCACAGUUUGGUCUUCCUUUUGUGUAAUAUUAUUAAAUUUGAAUGUUUCCAUUGUCACAUUUCUUUUUGGGAGAAAAUACUCGUCAAAACUAUUGAGUACAUCCUCCAGAUUGUCUUUCUUGUCUUUGGGAAAAGUAUUAUAUACAUCUAAACAUGUUUCCCCCAAAAUGUUUAACAGUAAUGCAAUUUUAAUUUUUUCUAGUGCUGAAUCCUUUCCGGCUGCUAGGAGAUAUAUUUCAAAUCUUUGUUUCCAUCGUGGCCAUUUGGUUGGAUCGCUUACAUCAAAUGCUUCUGGUGCCCUGCACUCCAUUUUAUCAAAUUUCCUGGAGGUUUUCCAAAAACUAGAGUGGAUAAACGCCCCUUGGUAUUUCUCGUAUUUACACACUUUCUGCUACGAAUCUCCACUUACAAGUAGGUUAAAACACACCUGAUACCAUGUUUUACUUUAAUGAUGGUGGAUAUACAAAUAAGUACAUACUUUUAAUAACUUUAUUUUAUUUUAUAAGAUCUAGAUCUACACAAGGCUCUAACAAGCGGCCAUCCUUGUGUCUGUUAGCUGUCAGCUUAAGCCCGCUACAGUACACACUAUGUACACACUAAAGCUCAUGGUCUUAAGCUGCAUACAGACUAACACAAAUAAACAUAAAACUUAAUUCUAAAUUACACAACAUACGUAAGUUAAUUAUACCAAAUUGGUGUUUAUUUUUCCUGUGGUGUUGAUUUUUAUUUAUACCGAGAGUUGAACUUGUUACGAUUUUAAUAGAAAAUUGGUUAUAACUUUGUAAAUACCCUGUAUAACAUAAUAAACCUUUAUAUUUUGGUGAUAUGGAUAUGAAGGUUAAGAAGAUUUCGAACAUAAAAUAAAAUAUAGGGUGUUCCAUUUAAAAAACAUAAGUUUGGUCUGUCACUAUAUUAUCGAACGCCCUGUAACAUUCUAACUAAUUUUAGUAAUUUUGUAAUAUGAAGCUUAAAGUUUGCUAAAAUUUUUGUUACUAACUUUUAUUACUAUCUAUUACUCUAGCGGAUCUACUGAGUUUUAUCACACUAAUCAAUCGCCCCGUAUAUUUUAUCUUAUUACUUCUGCUACCGUUAAUCACGCAUUUUUGUCUUUUAUCUUUUUCAUACUGCUUUAGAAUGUUGUUAAACUCAUUAAAAGAACUAAAUAAUGGUCCACACUCCAUAGUUAAUUAAAAAACACUAAACAAGUAAAAAAUAAGGAAACUCUUUAUAAAUCAAUAUUAAAGUGUAAACAUAAACGCGAUUAGACAAAUUCUAACCACACUCUGAGACUCGCGAUACUUACAGAUACUUAAUACCACAGCAUACACGCGGCUCAAAUUAGCGUGUACCAAAAAGCCCAGUCAUAGUACAUGCUAAAUAAUGAAGUCACUGACUUAAUGACGUUUAAGCGUGUACCUAACUUUUUUAUUUGCGUACACGUUAGCGUGUACCUAGACACAGCGCAAAUUAUUAUUAACAUAAAAGUAUUACAUACAUGGUCCAUACUUUUUAGCGAUAUAAUAGCAUGACAUU